GACGAACGCUGGCGGCGUGCCUAAUACAUGCAAGUAGAACGCUGAAGGAGGAGCUUGCUUCUCUGGAUGAGUUGCGAACGGGUGAGUAACGCGUAGGUAACCUGCCUGGUAGCGGGGGAUAACUAUUGGAAACGAUAGCUAAUACCGCAUAAGAGUAGAUGUUGCAUGUCAUUUGCUUAAAAGGUGCAAUUGCAUCACUACCAGAUGGACCUGCGUUGUAUUAGCUAGUUGGUGAGGUAACGGCUCACCAAGGCGACGAUACAUAGCCGACCUGAGAGGGUGAUCGGCCACACUGGGACUGAGACACGGCCCAGACUCCUACGGGAGGCAGCAGUAGGGAAUCUUCGGCAAUGGACGGAAGUCUGACCGAGCAACGCCGCGUGAGUGAAGAAGGUUUUCGGAUCGUAAAGCUCUGUUGUAAGAGAAGAACGAGUGUGAGAGUGGAAAGUUCACACUGUGACGGUAUCUUACCAGAAAGGGACGGCUAACUACGUG
rnacentral:rRNA from 1 species